UCGGUCAUGAAGGUUGUCUUUAUCUGGUCGAAUUCGAACAUCGGUAUCUGAUUAUACCCCGAAUAGUCAUCCAUGAAUGAGAGCAAUUGAUAUCCGACUAAAUUAUUUGCGAGCUUUUCGAUGUUCAGGAGCGGAUAAUAAUCCUUUGGGCAUGUUUUAUUAAGGUUGGUAUAAUCAAUGCACAUCCUCCACUUUCCUGGGGAUUUCCUCACUAACACAACAUUGGACAACCACUUUGUAUACUUGGAUUCAAAAAUGAACUUGGCAUCCAACAGGCCUUUAACUGUGCUAGUAAUGGCCUUAGCCUUCUCCGGGGAUCUGCUUCCUCCACCGCUGAGAAACAUGACGAGCGUCGGAUGCUACAUUUAACUGAUGGCACGCUACACUAGGAUCAAUGUUCAAUGUUGGGCAUCUAAUGUGGGGUUAUAUCAAAAAAGGUAGGUGUCAUCCUGAAGGCACUCAAUCAGGGCGGCUUUUACCUCCAAACGAAGCUCGACACCUAUUUUUACUAGCUUGGCGGGAUUGUCCCUGAGCUGGACGGCCUCGAACUCACCAUCUAGCACCAGCCUAACCUCAUCUUCAUGAGUGUCUAGGUCGGAUGCAUAUGGAAUCACUAGAUCUCCUUCAGUUUCUCCUUUUGAGGUCGUGGCUGAUGUCAGGAUGUUUUUAUGGAUGACUUAUUUGAUUCGCUUCACCUCGUCUACGUUGGUGCUGACUGUGGCCGACAUCCCUUCUGCAUCGUAAUAAGUGACCUUCAGGUGGACCGCGGAUGCCACUGCAUCUAGUAUCACCAUGAAGGAUCUCCCUAAUCUGCUUGCUGGAUGCGUAACAAUUCCAAUGUGUCUGCAUAGAGGAUGUUGCACGAACUUUCGUAUGAAAAAUCCUUUUAGGUUUCGAUCAACGAUAGUGAUUGCAAUGACCAAAUGCAGAUCGAAGUUUAGAAUCCCAUUGACCUUUUCACGAUCUAGAACUCCAGUAUCCAUCGUGAGCAGGAAGCAUCCUGGAGAAUGACAUGUGAUGGAUGAUGCGGUAUUGUGCAAAAUGUUGAUUAGUCAUAUCUGGUGAACGAUUGAUCUGGGAGACGAAUCCAGGACCUUCGGCAUAGCUAUCAGAGUUAUCGCAUAUACAUUUUCUAUUGUUGGUACCAAUCUGAUUUCAGACUGAGAUUGAUUUGAUGAUGGAAAUUCACGGAAAUCGGAAGUCGAUUCCGACAGACUGCGUCAUUGUUCUGUACUAGAAUCAGAAAUAGUUGAAGUAGAUGAGGAGGAAUUCUGAACUGGUGGUUGAUAUCCAAGAUUAACACUUCAAAUUGAGUGUAUUGAAAAAUAAAGAUCAAUUAAUAUAUUUUGCCUUUUGCUUGAA